UGGAUGGGAUGGGAGAGGGAGGCAGGGAUGAGGGCAAGAUUUCACGCACCAAUUGAAUUUUUUGUAGUGAGGGCUCUUGCUUGGCUUAUUUGCUGCACUUGUAGAGGAAUUGUCCAGGAGCAGCAGCCGGAGGAGAAAUUGGCAGACGUGGGCCUGAGGAACCUGGACAUUCUUCUAAGGAGACAUGAACAGUCCUCAGCUUUCUGCCUCAUGCAUAACUGGCUGUGGGUUUGGUGUGUCUGACCAGAGUCGUCUGUGCAGAGUGACUAUUUCAGGUGUCGUCGCAAGGGGUGCUUUCUACUUGUAGUCCUAAAGGCGUGAUGGGAGGAGGGUUCAAGGCAGAGCCCCACCACGUGGGAGAGGCAAAAAGAAGCGGCUGCCCAACAUUGCCAAUUGAGAUGGUGACUGACUUGUUUUUCCGCUGGAUUUAGUACCAAGGGAAAAAAGUGACAAGUCAGAGUCUACUGCCCUCAUGCGACGGAAAGCGAGCGAGAGUGAUGGGACUGGGAGAAUUAUUGAUGCCUUGAAUAAGCCGUACGACUGGGAAUGGACCAGUCAUCACUGUCAAUGAGAUAAGUGUCUGUUUUGGUGAUUGCUCUGCUCACGGCCCACCUUGCUCCUGAAAGGGAUGCCCCGUUUGCUAAGGGCUGUGUUUGUAAGAAAAGGUUCCUGACUAGCUGUGGUUUUGAGAGAGAGAGAAGAUCCCCAUUUUUAGGGGCUGCUCAGUUUUCUGGCCAGGAGCAGUGUGUCCUACGCAGCAGAAGGUUGCAUCUAGGAGAAUGAGUCCAGGUGGUGAAUUGCUUGACUUCCUCUCGUGUUUCUCUCUCUUCUCUAGUGUGUUGGCCAACACUCUUUCUCAAUCUGUCCUUGCCUUUCCUUGUGCUGUCUCCCUUCUUAGGAUAUCGGCAGGAGUGCUACGUGUGCAUCCCCCCAGGUCAGGUCUUGGGAGCCAUGGAGAAGUUGAAGCAGAGAAAAAUCAUGAGGGGCAGUUGGUUCUGAAGUGGAGCAGUGACUCGGUUUACCUGUCUCUGUUCAUGGAGUGGGGCUCAGCUGCACUUCCAGAGGAACUGUCUAGGAAUCCCAGCCCGAGGAGAAGCUGGCAGAAGUGGACCUGAUCUGUCUGAACAUCCUUCUAAACAGACACGAGCAGUCCUCAGCUUUCUGCCUCCCACAUAACUACACUUCAUUACUUCAGCGGCACGGCUGAAGCCUAAGAUGAAUGCAGGGUAGAGGCUUAGCACAGAUGGCUGCUUCCCUUUAGAAAGGUGUAAUGGGAGAUGAGCGAAGAAGAACCUACACAACACUGCAGAUUCCGAUGGUAACUUUUGUUUGUCUGUGGUACUAAGCAAAACACAAGAGGGAGAAAGAAGUCAAGGGUAAGAGCCCACCCCUGUUGUGUGAUGGAAAGCACGCAAAAGCCGUGAGACAGCCAACAUUGUUGAUGCCAGGCUAUGCAGAUGCUGUUGAGCUGGAAGUGGAGCAGCUGUCACUAUCAGUGAGAUAAGUGUCUGGUUUGGUGAGGACUCUGGUAACGGCCCACCCGCCUCCAGGCCAGGAUUUGUCGUUAGCAGGGGCUUGAUUUGUAGGAAAAAAUUCCUCAGUAGCUGUGGUUAGGAGGAAGACAAGGUCCCCAUUUUCAGGAGCUGGUCAUUUCUCCGUCCACAAGCAGUGUGUCCUCCACAGGAGAAGGUUGGAUCCAGGGGGAUGACUCCAACUGUUUGCAGAGUAAUCAUCCAGGAGGUGUCUCCAGAGGAGAAGCUGGCAGAGGUGGACCUGAACUGAACUGCCUGGACAUCCUUCUAAGGAGACAUGAAAGGUCCUCAGCUUUCUGCCUCUCAUUACCAAGGGAAAAGAAGUCAGAAGUCAGUGUCUACUGCCCUCAUGCGAUGGAAAGCGAGCGAGAGCAAUGGGAAUUACUGAUGUCAUAAAAAAGCUGUCCAAGUGGGAGCGGAACAGCCACCACUGUCAAUGAGGAAAGUGUCUGUUUUGGUGAUUGCUCUGCUCACAGUCCACCUUGCU